CGGGCGGGUCGGACGCGUCGGGCGGGUCGCCCGCGUCGCCGCCGCUCACGCCGCCGCGCGCCGACACGCCGCCGCGCCGGCACAGACACCGCCGGCACCGACACGACACCCAAAAUGGUGGCAGCACACCACCAUCUCCAGAACCUACACAAGCGCACAGGCAUCAUAGUGCGACAAGUGCAGCUAAUGCUGGCGGUGGUGUGGGCGGGGCCGCGG